rnacentral:lncRNA from 1 species
GUUCCCUUGGGGCAGCAGGCCGUUGCCUUGGUGGGGUAGUUCAGGAAUGUGCCCUUGGAAGUGGUUCCUGGAAGUCCAGCCCACGCCUCUUUCCCACCUUUCCCAGGACUCUGCAAGCUCUGUAAGCUUAUUGUUGGGGAGUGGGAGGAGUGGAUGAAUUCCAAGGCUUGUGGUUUCUGACCCUUGGUCACUUCCAUUUCUCCAAAAUAAGUUGCAGAGUGAUUUCAUUGUUGUUCCAAACAGAGUUUUUUAAAAAGUUUUGACCUUGUUUAUCAUUUAUAUAUUCAAGUAAUAAUAAAGUCUUUCAAGUUCUGUCCAAAAGUUGGCAGCCAUUUUUUUUUCUUACAUACAGCAUCUGCUUAGGGAAGUGGAGUAGGUAACUGGUGUUUGAGAAGAGACAUUCAUGAGUCUCUCUUCUGUCCUCAUCACAGUGACCUUGGUUUCCCUUGUGGCUCCUUGGAGAAUGUCUAUUUUUGAUUAGAAUGUAAGCAGUGAGGCGGGCUUGUCUCGGUAUCUCUAGCUUUAGUAUGGUGGUUGGCCAAGUGAAGUACUCAGUUGCUGAAUGAAUGGUUUUCUCUAAGCAGCAGAAUACAUUUAAAAAUAAAUGGGAGAAAGGAAUGUAGUUUAACAAACAGUUACUGAACUCCCACCAAGUGAAGAGACACCGUGUCCCCACCCCUUUUUGAUGGAUGGAAAAAAGGGGACAAGUGAUUAAAAUCUGCCCUGGAUGCUUUUGGCUUUAAAGUCUGAUUAUCCUAAGCUUCGUUUCUUGGUUGAUAAGUUUCUACAUCUUGGUUACCCAACAGUAAGAUUUAAUCAGUAUUUUAAAGCUGAUGUUUUAAGAAGGAAAGAAGUUUUGCACAGUUUUGGGGCAUGUCCAUGAGAGUACUGAGUGCUGGGCUUUGAUUGACAGGAGACUUACCCUUGUCAAGUAAUCCUGGGUCCUCCUUCUGGCUCUGGGGUCACCCUUGUUCCACUUCCCUAGCAGCGUUAGGAAAUAGCUCAUUCUAUGAUUGGAAUUGCAAGUCAAAACACAUUUAUCUGAACAGAAUUUUAAUGAUUUAUCAAAGAGAGGAGGGAUUUUCCCAAACACAUCAGAAUUUAUCCAAUUACUGAUCCCAUUAAAUAUGUUUUUCUUAAGCAUCUUUCUUUAAACAAAGCAAUUACUGUGAAAUCACCAAAUAUAUUUUUCAUAAAACCUUUUUUAAUAUCUUUUGUUUGAUUAGCAGGAGCCCACUAAAAGUAAAUAUUGCUUAAAGAGGCACUUCUCCAGGACCUUUCUUUUUCUUUCAAGAAAGAAGGAAAAUUAGCUUUUAGAAGCUCUGUUCUUUGGAGAGAGUAGGAGCCUUUUUCUGGCCGUCCAGUUGUGUAGCUCAAGGUCUUAUUAAAGCUAUGUUCUGGCCCUGAGAUUACAGAUGAUUGUGAUAACACAGAUUCGGCUCCCGUAAUCGAAAACAAAUUUGUUUGUGCCUCAGGAUGUCACCAGGUGUUAAUUAAUCUCAGGUUUCUCUCACCUGGACAACUCUUUAGGCUCCGGUAAACAGACGUCUGCCAGGGAGAGACAGACCUGUGUCACAUCGUUGGUUUGUGUUUUUGGAAGGUGCCCUUUGGUGGCCCUGCACUGGAUCCAUGGUUGGUCCUUCUACCUCCACCUCCCAAGUGUUUGGCGUUCUGUUCCCCAUUGCCUCAGGAAAAAAAAAUCCUGUGGCAGAAUUCCUCCAGUGGCCAACUUACAUACAACGUGCUCUAAAUGGGAAAAUUAUAUAUUUUAAAAUAGGCAUGUUUGAAACAAUAACAUUUUUGAAUGUGAAAUGUACCAAAGGCCACAUGUCUUUGGCUUCGCUUGUCAAAUGGAGAGGCUGCUGCCAGAACCACUGGGCUCCAUGGUUCUCAUGCCCCAAAGUCCUGCAAAUUGACAAAUAAGCAGACAACAACACAAAGAAGUUGGGCCCAUGAGAAAGUGAGUCUGGGCACUUGGGCUGGCCUCUUUUUCUCUGUGUGGAGCUCUUCCCAGCUUUGCCCUUGUGUCUAAUCUUAGAUUUCCAAAAAGGAGAGAUUAAAUGUGUCUGGUAUUUCAGUGUGUUAACUGCACGGACAACAUGAAGCUAGCACUCAGGCCACUGUUCAGCCUGUCAUAUGGAAGGACUUGCCUUUCAGAGGAGAUUAUAAUUGUGUAUGUAGCCACACAAAUGCACAUUCUGCCUGGAGAAAAAUGCAGAGAAGAGGAGGCCGUAUGCUGCCACUCAGGUCUCUUUGUGGAAGGCUGCAUAAGGAGCCCUUACAUGCCAUAGUCACCUCUUUGGGGCUUAAUGAGUCAUCUUUGUGUGUUAGCUUCUUAAAAG